rnacentral:siRNA from 1 species
UACAACAAAGAUCAUACUAGUUGU